CCCCUCCUUUCCUCCCGCCACAAGCGCUCGCUGUGGUUCUGGCAGCGAAGUGCGAGACUGGGCUCGCCAGGCGGAAGUGGUUGGAGACUGCGUGUUUUCCUAGAAAGUCCUCGACCUUCGUCGGGGAGAGGAGGGGAGUGAUAAAUUGGAAGGCGGACAAGCGACAAGUGCGGUACUGGAAAGACCCAAACAUACUUGGUUGUGACCUCAGGACUCAAUAAAAUAAACAGCUGGAAAUAAGCAGACUAGUGUAAGAGUGAAUUGAAAAGAAAACCCAAGGUCACAUCUCCCAAGAAGCAGUAAUGUUCCAGCAAUAAGAAAAGGACAGUUUUUUGUCUUUUGCAUGGUGAGCCUUAUAUGAAUUACAUCAAUUUUGUCACCAAUAUCCAUCAUCAGAACAUUUUGGUAAGUAAAGAAGCUGAUUUCUGUUGAACAUUUAUACUAUAUAUCAGAGUUGCAAAAAUGAGAUGCCUACAGGGGCUGUGCAUAUGAUAUAAAUGGCGGGAGUCAGGUGGGCCCAUUGAAAGGUGUAAUCCCCUGGCUGUUGCCAGUUGGCUGUUGACAUUCACAAAUGUUGGCUCAGUGUAAAUAGAUCAUUUUUUCCCCUCCCACAAGAAGCUAAAAAAGCUGAACUUUUGGGUAUAAUUAUCCAAAUUUAAAUAUUAGCAACUGAUUCAAAAAUUUUAAAACUCUGCCCUGGGC
rnacentral:lncRNA from 10 species